rnacentral:rRNA from 1 species
AGAGUUUGAUCCUGGCUCAGGACGAACGCUGGCGGCGUGCUUAACACAUGCAAGUCGAGCGAGAACCAGGGCUUCGGCUCUGGGGAAAGCGGCGAACGGGUGAGUAACACGUGAGUAACCUGUCCUCGGCACCGGGAUAGCCCGGGGAAACCCGGAUUAAUACCGGAUGGCCUUUCGAGUCUUCGGGCUCGUCAGAAAAGGUAGCUUCGGCCUCCGGCCGAGGAGGGACUCGCGGCGGAUUAGCUUGUUGGUGAGGUAACGGCCCACCAAGGCGUCGAUCCGUAGCCGGCCUGAGAGGGCGGUCGGCCACACUGACACUGAAUAACGGGUCAGACUCCUACGGGAGGCAGCAGUCGGGAAUUUUGGGCAAUGGGCGCAAGCCUGACCCAGCAACGCCGCGUGAAGGAUGAAAUCUUUCGGGAUGUAAACUUCACAAGAACGGGAAGAAUAAGUAAGGCUUAAUACUCCUUACGAUGACGGUACUGUUUGUAAGCUCCGGCUAACUCCGUGCCAGCAGCGGCGGUAAUUC